rnacentral:rRNA from 1 species
AUUGAACGCUGGCGGAAUGCUUUACACAUGCAAGUCGAACGAUGAACCUUAGCUUGCUAAGGGGAUUAGUGGUGAACGGGUGAGUAAUAUAUCGGAACGUGCCUUGUAAUGGGGGAUAACUAGUCGAAAGAUUAGCUAAUACCGCAUACGCCCUGAGGGGGAAAGUAGGGGAUCUUCGGACCUUACGUUAUAAGAGCGGCCGAUAUCUGAUUAGCUAGUUGGUGGGGUAAUGGCCUACCAAGGCGACGAUCAGUAGCUGGUCUGAGAGGACGACCAGCCACACUGGAACUGAGACACGGUCCAGACUCCUACGGGAGGCAGCAGUGGGGAAUUUUGGACAAUGGGCGCAAGCCUGAUCCAGCCAUUCCGCGUGAGUGAAGAAGGCCUUCGGGUUGUAAAGCUCUUUCGCAAGGGAAGAAAACUUACCAUCGAAUAAAUGGUGAGGCUGACGGUACCUUGAUAAGAAGCACCGGCUAACUACGUG